rnacentral:misc_RNA from 1 species
ACAAACUUGGUCAUUUAGAGGAAGUAAAAGUCGUAACAAGGUCUCCGUUGGUGAACCAGCGGAGGGAUCAUUACCGAGUUUACAACUCCCAAACCCUUAUGUGAACCUUACCCAUCGUUGCUUCGGCGGGAGAGCCCCGGCGCCCUCGCGGCCCGGAACCAGGCGCCCGCCGGAGACCCCAAACUCCAUGUUUUAACGAGUAUCGUCUGAGUGGUAUAAACAAAUACAUCAAAACUUUUAACAACGGAUCUCUUGGCUCUGGCAUCGAUGAAGAACGCAGC